rnacentral:sRNA from 1 species
GCCAGGAGUGGUGGCACACACCUCUAGUCCCAGAUGCUAGGGAGGCUGAGGGGAGAGAAUUGUUUGAGUUCACAAAUUCAAGACCAACCUGGGCAACAUAGUAGGACCCCAUCUCAA